rnacentral:rRNA from 1 species
GGAGGGUCCAAGCGUUAUCCGGAAUCAUUGGGGUUUAAAGGGGUCCGUAGGCGGGCAAUUAAGUCAGAGGUGAAAUCCCACAGCUCAACUGUGGAACUGCCUUUGAUACUGGUUGUCUUGAGUUAUAGUGAAGUAGAUAGAAUAUGUAGUGUAGCGGUGAAAUGCAUAGAUAUUACAUAGAAUACCGAUUGCGAAGGCAGUCUACUAACUGUAUACUGACGCUAAUGGACGAAAGCGUGGGGAGCGAACAGGAUUAGAUACCCUGGUAGUCCACGCCGUAAACGAUGGUCACUAGUUGUUGGGGCUUUAUGCCUCAGUGAUUAAGAGAAAUUGAUAAGUGACCCACCUGGGGAGUACGAUCGCAAAGAUUG